UCCUCUCUCUUUCUCAUCUCCCUCUCUCUCCAGCGGCGCCGAGCUUGGAGAAUUCGCCGGAGCUCUCGCGGCUUGGGCAGACUUCGUCGGAGUAGAGGAUGAGGCGGCGGCGGUGGAGGAGAUCCGGUCCUCUGAAAUCGGCGGCGUGGAGGAGGUCGGUCAGGUGGCGGAGGAUGAGGCGGCGGCGGCAGAUCUGAUCUGAUGAGGCGGCGGUGGAUCUGAUCUGAUGAGGUGACGGCGGUGGAUCUGAUCUGAUCGUUGCGCCGCCUCCUCCAUCGGCAGAUCUGAUCUUCGCCUCCUUCGAUUUCAGCCAUCGACAGAUCUGAU
rnacentral:lncRNA from 1 species